CGCACAUGGCGCCUUCCAGUAUCCUGGGAGGCAUGCCUGUCCGAGCGUCGUUUCAACCCUCGAGCCCCCGUGGCCCGGCGUUGGGGAUCUGCCCAGGCAGGCCCCUAAAACCAGUGGCGGACCCGUUACAGGCCCUUCCUUUGCGUAGUAGCAUCAGCCUCGCAUCGGGAGCCAGCGGGCUUCUGGCCUCUAAACCCCCAUCAAGUCCGCCCCGGCGGCACCAAGGUUGACCUCGGAUCAGGUAGGAAUACCCGCUGAACUUAA
rnacentral:misc_RNA from 1 species